rnacentral:lncRNA from 1 species
GCUUUUUGCAGAUACUAGAUCAACUCAGUGAGACUUCAAGUUUUGUGGAUAGUGAGAAUCUUAAGGAGAAAUUGGUGGAAGUUCAUGAAAAUCAUAUGGACAGAGCUUUGGAAGAGCUGUCUAGAUACCAAACAGAGUCUAAUGACAUAGAUGAUACAAAAAAACCCAGGAAACAUUGGCAAGCUGGAGCCCCUCAGACACUACUGAAUUUUUUAGCUGAUGCUGAUGUCACAUCUCUAUGUCCUACUAUGGCUGAAGAUGAACUUGCUGACCAUGCUAUUCUGCCUGAAGACGUCCCAGAAAGCAGGAAGCAGUGGAAACAAACACCACCAGAGACUCUCCUGAACAUUUUAGCAGAAGCAGAGCUGUCUAAUGAUUCCUUUAUGUGUCUUGAAGAAGAAAUAGAAGGGAAAUUAACUCUGUUGCCUCCAAAAGAAAACAAGAAAGAUGAUUCAGAGACAUACUCUGCUGUUGCUGUUGAUGAAGGCAGACUUGAGCCAAGAUCAGAUG